AAAAAAGCAGGGGCAUGUUUCCUGUGUGAGCAGGCCUCUCGUAACCUUCAGGGAUAUAAUAACUUACAGAAAGCAAGCAUGCAAUCUGUUUGUAACUGAAAGGUUCAGUAAAUGAUGGAACACAUUG
rnacentral:snoRNA from 1 species